CGAACGUUCAGCGCUGCGAUGCUGUGCAGCCACUUCCACUGGGGGAAGUUCCCCUCUCUGCCGGAGUUGUCUUGCUUAGGGAGAGAUACUGUACCAAUCGGUGCCGCAAAAUAACUCUAACUCUGAGAAAAUAAGCUGAUCACACAAUCAAUGUUUAAAGGCAUCCUCAGUUUGUCCUGCUGCCAUUGGGAAUGCAGUAAAACCUUCCCUCCUGUGUGGCAUUGAACUUUGGAAAGCUCAAGGGACUGAAGGUAUUUAUUAGUUUGCCCGUUAAAAAAAAAGUCUCCUACACAAG